UACGUAGGUGGCAAGCGUUGUCCGGAUUUACUGGGCGUAAAGAGCGCGCAGGCGGUCGUCCAAGUCGCGUGUGAAAGCCCCCGGCUCAACUGGGGAGGGUCACGCGAUACUGGUCGACUCGAAGGCAGGAGAGGGAAGCGGAAUUUCCGGUGUAGCGGUGAAAUGCGUAGAUAUCGGAAGGAACACCAGUGGCGAAAGGCGGCU
rnacentral:rRNA from 1 species